ensembl:snRNA U4 U4 spliceosomal RNA
AGCUUUGCGCAGUGGCAGAAUCGCAGCCAAUGAUGUUUAUCUGAGGCACGAUUAUUGCUAAUUGAAGUACAGGAAAGUGAAUGUCAUUUGGGGUGAACCUAUGACAAUUAAGAAAUGAUAGGGAUAUAUCAUAUAUAAGUCCCUAUCUCUGGACUUAUUUUACUUUGAUGAAAUUUCUUUAUAAGA